ACGAUUUAGUUGAUAUAUUAUUAUAAAUACUACCUUUUCCACAUUGAAAUGAUGAUACGUUGCGUUGUAACGGGAUGUUCAACCAAAACCGGGAAAGGACAAGCAGUAAGUUUUCAUCAUUUGCCGCGGUGUAAACAAUGGCUGCGGGCUAUCAACCACGCAAAGUUCAGAGAAGACAACGAUGCGGUAAAAUUGAAAUACCUGAGGGUUUGCAGUCUCCAUUUCAAGCUGGAAGAUAUCGAACCCAAUGUACUCGGAAUGAAGCGAAACACGCUAAAGGACACUGCGAUUCCGUCUAUAUGUACCUUCACAGACACGACGAACAGCCGGGGCCAUCUGGCAUCAAACGCAUUCGUCUACGUUAGAGGUUUCCGGAAGAAGAUGCAGGAGAAGGGGAAAAAAGAACAAUGAAAUCCUCCUUGCAUGGACCAGGUCUGUCAUAAAUCAUAUGUGGUUUUCCUGUGCAACCAGUAAGGGGGACUUCGAGG